rnacentral:rRNA from 1 species
ACGACUGCUAAGACUGGAUAGGAAGAAAUAAGGCAUCUUGAUUUCUUUUAAAAGACCUAGUAAUAGGUAUACUUUAGGAGGGGCUUGCGCCAUAUUAGUUAGUUGGUAGGGUAAUGGCCUACCAAGACGAUGAUGUGUAGCUGGACUGAGAGGUUGAACAGCCACAUUGGGACUGAGACACGGCCCAAACUCCUACGGGAGGCAGCAGUAAGGAAUUUUCGGCAAUGGAGGAAACUCUGACCGAGCAACGCCGCGUGAACGACGAAGUACUUUGGUAUGUAAAGUUCUUUUAUCAAGGAAGAAAAGCAAGUGGCGAACCAUUUGUUUGCCGGUACUUGAUGAAUAAGCCCCGGCUAAUUAUGUGCCAGCAGCCGCGGUAAGACAUAAGGGGCAAGUGUUAUCCGGAAUUAUUGGGCGUAAAGGGUGCGUAGGCGGUCUAGUAAGUCAGUGGUGUAAUGGCAACGCUCAACGUUGUCCGGCUAUUGAAACUGCUAAACUUGAGUUAGAUAGAGGCGAGUGGAAUUCCAUGUGUAGCGGUAAAAUGCGUAAAUAUAUGGAGGAACACCAGAGGCGUAGGCGGCUCGCUGGGUCUUAACUGACGCUGAGGCACGAAAGCGUGGGGAGCAAACAGGAUUAGAUACCCUGGUAGUCCACGCCGUAAACGAUGAGUACUAAGUGUCGGGUUAAACCGGUACUGAAGUUAACACAUUAAGUACUCCGCCUGAGUAGUACGUACGCAAGUAUGAAAACUUUAAAGGAAUUGACGGGACUCCGCACAAGCGGGGGAUCAUGUUGUUUUAAUUCGAAGAUACCCCGAAAAACCUUACCGGGUUCUUGACAUGUUUUUGCGAAACGGUAGUACUAUUCGUAGAGGUUAUCAGAAACACAGGGUGGUGCAUGGUUGUCGUCAGCUCGUGUCGUCGGAGAUGUUAGGUUAAGUCCUAAAACGAGCCCGAAACCCUUAACAAAAAAUUGCCAGCACGUUAUGGUGGGGACCUUUUAACGAGACUGCCAGUGAUAAACUGGAGGAACCCGGUGAGGAUCACGUCAAAUCAGCAUGCCCCUUAUGAAAAUCCUGGGCUACAAACGUGAUACAAUGGCUGUUACAAAGGGUAGCUGAAACGUAAGAUUUUCUUGGCCAAUCCCCAAAAACAGUCUCAGUCCGGCAUUGAAGUCUGCAACUCGACUUCAUGAAGUUGGAAUCGCUAGUAAUCGCGAAUCAGCAUGUCGCGGUGAAUACGUUCUCAGGGUUUGUACA